CACAAUUAGAUCACCAACAUAAAACCAUCUAAUCAAUUAAACCAAACGUAGGCAAAUAACAUAGAGCUAGUUCAUGUGUAACAUAGCUUCUUCUCAUAUAUAGUAACAUUUGAUUCACUAAAUUAUCCAAGUUUGUGGAUGAAGAACCAUAUGGAGCAGUUGCUUCUUCUGCAAGUAGCUUCCAUUCCCCUACUUUAUUUCUCAUUUGUGUACCCUUAUCUCCCUUCAUCACCUUUUUAACAGCUUCUCUAUUUCCUCUCUCUUCACUUCUUUAAUGAUCUCGAUCCCGAUUCCCCAUUCAUUGCAAGCAGACCAGGUAUUUGUUACUUGGUCCGUAAAGAAUGGCAAGCAAAGUAUCGGCACCCCUGCAGUCACACUCGCAAUUACUGAAUUCCAACCGCUGUGUGUUGAAUGGCAAGCCAUCAAGAGAGUUAGGUCCUAGAGAUUUAAGAAAGAGUUUGUGGUUGAACUCUGUGUUGACAAAGGUUAUAUGAAAACCUCUGUGGUGGAGGAGUUUUGCUAGUUUGAGCAUUGCCUUUAUGUGGCUUUGAAAUGGUAGAGCAAUGCAUACUGCAUGAGGCUUUUUAGCUACUUCUUUGGAACUCAUCUUAGAUUGUGUGUAUGAGUGUGGUAUGUAACACUCAGAAAAUGCACAGUUUUAUACGGAUAUAAGGAACAACAUUCUAGCCAGGGUUUGGUUUGUUUGUAAUACAUUUAGGGAUUAAUUACAAAACAUUGCCCGAAUUAUGAUGCUAUCUUCAUACCUAAUUAUAAAAAACUUGCAUUUUCAUACCCGAAGUUUCAUUCCGUUAGCAUUUUGAUAUCCUGGCCACUAACACGGUUAAAUUUUGAAGGCAUUUUUGUCAUUUCAAUAAAUAUAUCAUUUUACAUUUACUUUAACAAAAUAAUUUAUUUUUUUGAGGUUAUCAAAUACAAAUAAAACAAUUUACUUUAGCAAAAAUAUUCAAAAAAAAAAUAUCCAAAAUUAAAUAUUUAUUUUGUGCACCAAUAGUGAUAAAAAGUUAGUAGAAUCUUGUAUGUAUAUAUAUUUUUAGAGUUACAUGUUAAGCAAAAAUAAUAAUAAUAAUAAAAUAUAUAAUUAAAAUAAAAUUAUAUCGAGAAAAUAUCGAAUAACAAUGGAAAAUAUAUCAUAUUUUAUAUAAACAUAGUAUAUUUAACCAAAAAGAGUAAUUAAACAUUGUUUAUAAUUAAAAUUUGAAUUAAAAUUUCUAUCAAUUAUUCGAUUAUUUUCUCGAUAUUAAUUUAUUUAAUUAUAUUAUUUUAUUUUAUUUUAUUUUGUUUUACUUAAUAUGUAACUCCAAAAUUAUAUAUAUACAUACAAGAGUUCUACUUCUACUAACUUUUAUCACUAUUAUUGUAAAAAUAAAUAUUUAAUUUGGGAGUUUUUUUUUAAAUAUUUUUGCUAAAGUAAAUUGUUCUAUUUGUAUUUGAUAACCUCAAAAAAUAAAUUAUUUUGUUAAAGUAAAUGUAAAAAAUGAUACAUUUAUUGAAAUGACAAAAAUGCCCUCAAAAUUUAACGGUGUUAGUGAUCAAGGGGUAUCAAAAUACAAACAGAACGAAACUUCAGGUAUGAAAAUGCAAGUUUUUUAUAGUUAGAUUUGAAAAUAAAAAUAGCAUCAUUUUAUAAUUAAUCCUACAUUUAGCUAUGAAAUGAUUGAAAUCUGGAGCAGGUUAAAACCGAAUCUUGAAGAUAUAAAGAAAGCAGCCACAACAUGUCCAAUUUAUAGACAGGCACCUAAAUGUCAAAAAGAUAAUAUGUAAAGGACUAAAGGCCCAAGUAAAGACAACUAAAAAUGAGUAAAUAACUUUGGCCAAUACUAUGUUUCUUUUCCGGUGGAAGUUAAUUUCCUGAAAGAUGACAAGUUAGGCCAUUAGCAACAAUCAAACUUUUUUUCAUUAUUUUUUUCAGAAAUGAUGGCUUCAGUCUAUUAAAAGAUAGAAAAGAUAUAUACAAGAAAAUAACACAAUGCACAUUCUGAAGAGUGUUACGGCAAGAAGAGUCAUCUUUAUACUUUGUUCUAAAAUCCUAAAUAAUGCACCGUAAACAGUAUCUAAACCAUAAGAUUAAAACGUAUACAAAAGAGUUAAAGAUAAUACGAUGCUAUAAUUUCAGCCGAAACGAAAACCAAGUCUAUCGUUACUUAUUUGCAACAACAACAACAACAAAAAACUAAUUUGAAAAAAGUACUCAAGUACCUUGAUAGGCACUUCACCACCGUCCUGCUCCAUCUCAGCAAUCUGCGGAGCUUCCACAGUCUAUGUCCCCGAUAUAGGAACCACCACAGCUAGUCAGCUACACCGCUCGUACCCACCUCCCUGGCCUCAUUAUCUUCUUUUUUAAUUUUUCUUUUCCUAAAUAGGGCCGGAAAACAGUUUACAAAACAAGGAAAGAACUGAAAUUCAAAAAAAAAAAGGAACUGAGCUGAACUUUGGAUAACAAAGAGUAAUUAAGUACAUAUUCCAACGACAUGAAGAAAUACCAAAUAACAUUGUCGCUCUAGCUAAAUUUAUUGACCUCGAUCAGAGGCUUCUGGCUACUCCGGCCCUUGUUUAUUUUGAAAAAUAAAAACACACUUCUUAGCUCCUUCUCAAGUUCGGCUGUUAUACACAUUUAUAUAGCAUACAUCAAGCCGUGAGCCGUCCAAUCGUUUAACAAUUUAAAGUUCAAGAUGAUCGGAUGGUUCACGACUUGUUGUAUGCUACACACGUAUGUAUAGUAGAAAAGUCUCCCCUACUCAUGGUAGUAGUUGAUUCACUAAGUUGUCCAAGUUUGUGGCCGAAGAACCAUGUGGACCGGUGGCUUCUUCAGCAAGUUUCUUCCACUCCAUGGCCUUGUUUCUCAAUUUCUUACCCUUCUCUCCUUCCAUCACCUCCUUAACAAGCUUCUCUAUUUCGUCUCUCUUCACAUCAUUACUCAUGAUCUCGACGCCAAUGCCCCAUUUGUUGCAAGCAGACCAAGUAUUCGUUUGUUGGUCCGAGAAGAAUGGCCAACAGAUCAUUGGCACUCCUGCAUUGACACUCUCAAUCACGGAAUUCCAACCGCUGUGUGUUAGAAACCCUCCGACGGCCGGGUGGUUAAGCACUUGCUCUUGUGGGCACCAACUCGCUAUUAGACCUCUUUCCUUGGUUUCAGCUACAAACUCCGGUGGCAAAAUCGCUGAUUCACCGGCAACCAAAUCGGGUCUAAUCACCCAAAAGAAGGGAAGCUUGGUAUUUGCAAGUCCCCAAGCAAACUCUAUAAGUUGUUUUGAUGUCAUGACCAUUAUACUGCCAAAGUUGACAUACACAACUGAAUUUGGCGCCUUGGAGUUGAGCCACUGGAGGCAUUCAGUUUCUUCUUUCCAUAGACUGUAUCCAAUAGGGUCCAAAGGGUGUGUUGGUAUGUGAUUUAGGAGUGAUUGGAGAGGGCCAAUGACAUAAACACGAGGACGAAGCAUAGAUGAGAGAGCUUCGAUAACGUCUGGCUCCAACGCAUCGAAUGUAUGAAGGACAACGGCUUCAGCUUUCCCAAGUCCUUCAAAUGCUUCAAGGACGAAGUUCCAGACGCUGUCAUCUGGAUCUGUGACUUGAAAAUUCGUCGGGAGAUCCCUUAGCCGGAUAUCUUUCAUUGCUGGAAUCCAAUCUAUGACCUUGUCCAAAUACCCGUUUGUCAAACAGCUCUCAUCUACAUGUUUCAGAAACAAGAAACUCUAGCAAAUUAGUAACGCGCACAUUCACGUACACUUUAGAAUGUCUGCAUGCACUAAUUUUCAAAAUACUCGUAGAAAUAACGAUCAAGUUAAUUCGAAUGCCAAUAAGCUGCUAGUGAUCAAUAGCUAUUUUCUCACCUUUGAGUGGUGCUAGUCCUUUUUCCCUCAAAGUGGGGAAGUGUGCAUACGCCAUGAUGCUGCUUGCACUCAUAGUAAAGAAGAGUGUGACAGGUAUUUGAUGUUUUUCUGCUGCUUUAAGAACAUAGGCAUUCCAACCAUCUGAAACGAUGUGAGUCACCGGAGGAGAAAUAUCAGACGUACUUGCCAAGUCCUUGAGCUUUGUGAGGAGGCCAUGAAAAGGAGCCAAGAAAUUCUUCCUUAUCGACUCGCAAAGCAAACCGACGUCUUGCGACGCAUCUUCAUCCGAGCUGGGAAGGCCAUCUGGAAUGGUUUCAAACCGGAAAUCAGGCAAGCCGUCGAGGGAGUUGGGUCCGAGAGUUUUGAGAAACCGUUUGUGGUUGAACUCUGUGUUGACAAAGGUUAUAUGGAAACCUCGGUGGUGGAGUAGUUUUGCUAGCUUGAGCAUUGCCUUUAUAUGGCUUUGAAAUGGGAGUGUAACACAAACAACAUGAGGCUUGU
rnacentral:lncRNA from 1 species